rnacentral:rRNA from 1 species
UUCCGGUUGAUCCUGCCGGAGGUUACUGCUAUCGGUGUUCGCCUAAGCCAUGCGAGUCAUAUGUAGCAAUACAUGGCGUACUGCUCAGUAACACGUGGAUAACCUGCCCUUGGGACCGGCAUAACCCCGGGAAACUGGGGAUAAUUCCGGAUAACGCAUAUGUGCUGGAAUGCUUUAUGCGUAAAAUGGAUUCGUCUGCCCAAGGAUGGGUCUGCGGCCUAUCAGGUAGUAGUGGGUGUAAUGUACCUACUAGCCAGCGACGGGUACGGGUUGUGAGAGCAAGAGCCCGGAGAUGGAUUCUGAGACAUGAAUCCAGGCCCUACGGGGCGCAGCAGGCGCGAAAACUUUACAAUGCGGGAAACCGUGAUAAGGGGACACCGAGUGCCAGCAUCAUAUGCUGGCUGUCCAGGUGUGUAAAAUACACCUGUUAGCAAGGGCCGGGCAAGACCGGUGCCAGCCGCCGCGGUAACACCGGCGGCCCGAGUGGUGAUCGUGAUUAUUGGGUCUAAAGGGUCCGUAGCCGGUUUGGUCAGUCCUCCGGGAAAUCUGAUAGCUUAACUAUUAGGCUUUCGGGGGAUACUGCCAGACUUGGAACCGGGAGAGGUAAGAGGUAC